CAUAUGAUGCAGCUUUCAAGUUGAAGGCGAUUGAUCUGGCUGUUGGAAAAGGAAAUAAAGCUGCUGCACGGGAGCUUGGUCUUAAUGAGUUGAUGAUAAGACGUUGGAAACAGCAGCGUGAGGAAUUGACUCAGUGCAAAAAGACAACUAAACUUACUGCUAAUUUUUUAUUACAAGCCGUGUUUCGUUAAAGCCUGUGUAAAGUUAAUUUGUUUCAAUGUACCGGUAGGCACCUGCGGCUUAUAGACAUGUGCGGCUUAUUUAUGUUCAAAAUAAAAAAAACAUUUUAAUUCAGUGGGUGCGGCUUAUAUUCAGGUGCGCUUAAUAGUCCGGAAAUUACGGUAAUAAGCCUGAAUGGAAACCUUUUCUAGACUUGUCUUUAGGGUAAGAAAAACCCAGUCCUGGUUUGAAUGGACCACUGCGCACUAACUCAGUCCUCAUAAAGUCUGUUAAGCCUGGGGGCCAAUCUGCUGGGUCAUUUGAUGGAGCAGCAACUGUUCUAUUAGGCUCUGAGCUGCUUCUAUCUGAUGCUGGCUGAACACCUCUAUUUGUGCUAGUACUGGCUGAGGCUGCCUGUACUUCACCUGGGUCUGUGUUAGUACUUGCUGAAGACGGCUGUACUGGGUCUGUGUUAGUACUUGCUGAAGAUGGCUGUACUGGGUCUGUGUUAGUACUGGCUGAAGCUGCCUGUACUGGGUCUGUGUUAGUACUGGCUGAAGCUGCCUGUACUGGGUCUGUGUUAGUAGUUGCUGAAGCUGCCUGUACUGGGUCUGUGUUAGUACUUGCUGAAGAUGGCUGUAUUGGGUCUGUGUUAGUACUGGCUGAAGCUGCCAGUACUGGGUCUGUGUUAGUACUUGCUGAAGCUGCCUGUACUGGGUCUGUGUUAGUACUUGCUGAAGACGGCUGUACUGGGUCUGUGUUAGUACUGGCUGAGGUUGGAUGUGGAUCAACUGAGUCUGUGCUUGUACUGACUUAUGAUCCAGCAUCUCCUCUACUGACAAAUGUAAGUAUAGCACCUGUAAAUUAUAGAUAACAACACUAUUGUAGCGACCCGCACAGACAGCUGUGGGUUAUGUGUUAGGCUAUUAGUGGGUUGUGUCGUACUUACCAGUGUUCGCGGGGUCAUGCCAAUCAACCUGCUAUCUGCCAAUCACGGGAAUGCCUGGAAUUUUCUGAUACCGGGUAGCCUGGUGGUUGGUGGAGUGGCGUGGAGGGGGGUUGGGCAGGGGGAUGGAGCAUUGGAAGUUAAGACCAGGUUUAGCCAUUGUUCUCUCUCUUACGUCUGGGCUUCACAAGAGAAGGUCACGGUUGGUUUGUAGGGUACCUUUCAUUUUUUGGCGUGGGCUACGGCCAAACAGUAGCCUGUGUUAAGUUGGGUUAAUAAACCGUCCAGCUAAUCAACAUUUUAAAUUCAAUAUAUAAAUCAAUAGUCAAUGUCAAUCCAUUGUUUUUCGUCUUGAAUUAGUCCAGAGUUGUAACUAAACCUUGACUGAGAGACUAGAUAAUCAUUGUCUUGUUUUAAAAUUAUGUGCGCCUAUGAGGAGUGCCAUCAAGCCCAUAUAUUGUCUUGACUGGUCCCCACAGAGGUUGCUGCUGGAAAGCGCGAGUUUCACUUCGUGCACGCGCAUAUCAACAAAUGUUCACGCACAACGCGGUUAUCUUUUCCGAGCUGCAGUUUAUAAACACCGUUGCCCGUUGGCGUUUAUCAAACGUAAUAAAUAGUUGUAUUUCACUCUCACCUUUGUCAGGCACAAAGUCACAGAACACAGCCCUGGAAGUGGCUGGCAAGCAAGCAAGACACAGAGAGACCAAGAGAUGCACUGCCAAGCUAGAAGGAUAGUUCCGCUUCAUCCUCUCAUCGAAGUUGUAAACAGUGACACCCGCUUUGGCACGAGGAGGAGGCGGGGACCUUGCGUAAUUUGCGGAACCCUACGCAACUUGCGUAGUGAGCGUAUAGGGCCACUCGACUCUGGUCACUGGUUUGAGUCGCUGGUGAAAAAUCUGUCGAUGUGCCCUUGAUCAAGGCACA
rnacentral:lncRNA from 1 species